GAUUAUGCAGGUUUUCACAUGGAUAUGGUGGGAUUGGAGUAAGAUUGCCCAGACAAACUCAGGAUCAUAUGGAGCUUGUUCCAACCUUUCUUUCAAAGGAUCCACAACAUGAACUAUGCUUCCUCUUGUUCAAUUUCGUCAAAUAUGGAGGACAAGGUAACUCAAAUGGAAAAUUAGCUUGCAAUUGUGAAAAAACAAAUGAACACUUUGUUUGCAUAUAUUGCUUGACAUCUAAUUUGGUUCAUGCAUCCACCAAUGAGGUAUUAAUAUAUUGAAAUAUUUAUUGGUGUCUUUUAUUUUAUAAUUAUAAACAUACAAAUUCAUUAACUUAAAAUUAUUUAUUUCAGGCAUCAGAUUAUGGAAGUGGUGCUCCAUCACCUAAUUAAGUAAUAGGAUCAAGUGUUGGAAGCAAAACUGAUUAGGGAUGUGUCUUUUAAUUUUAAACUUGAUUAAGGAUGUAUGAACUUUUGAACAAUUAUGUGUUGUAAUUUUAAACUUGAUUAGGGAUGCAUGAACUUUUUAUGUGUUUUAAUUUUCAAUUACAUAUAAACUUUUGAACAUUAUUAUGUGUGCUUUAAUUUUUAAUGAAAU
rnacentral:lncRNA from 1 species